UGGGGAAUCAUAGACAAUGGGGGAAACCCUGAUCUUGCCAUGCCGCGUGAGCGAUGAAGGCCCUAGGGUUGUAAAGCUCUUUCACCGGUGAAGAUAAUGACGGUAGCCGGAGAAGAAGCCCCGGCUAACUCCGUGCCAGCAGCCGCGGUAAUACGGAGGGGGCUAGCGUUGUUCGGAAUUACUGGGCGUAAAGCGCGCGUAGGCGGGCUGUUAAGUCGGGGGUGAAAUCCCGGGGCUCAACCCCGGAACUGCCUUCGAUACUGGCAGCCUAGAGGACGGGAGAGGUGAGUGGAAUGCCGAGUGUAGAGGUGAAAUUCGUAGAUAUUCGGCGGAACACCAGUGGCGAAGGCGGCUCACUGGCCCGUUUCUGACGCUGAGGUGCGAAAGCGUGGGGAGCAAACA
rnacentral:rRNA from 1 species